rnacentral:lncRNA from 1 species
AUCGCAGCAACAAAAAUCAUUGCUAUAUAACAUCAGAAAAAAUGUGUGAAAGUGCCCAUGAAACAAUUGCAUCUUAAAAAUUCGUUGAAUCAGAAAGUAAAAUGGUUGAUUCAUGGGCCAAUGGCCACUACGUAUACAUCAGUAGCAACGUGAAGAGAGGGAAUAUGCUCACUCGACAUUACCUGAAUGUUCUAAAGAGGCAUCUCGUGAAUGUUCUUAACAGGCAUUCAUGCACGGCAUGAUCAAAUAAAUCAUUGAGAGGGAAUGACAUAGGGGUUGAAAGCACUGCUCACUUUGCUGGGCCAACCUGGCACCGGGCGUGGAGACCAUCGACGCGCAGAGCACCGGCGCGAGCCAUCUCUAGCCAUUGGGCAUGGAGACCAGCGACGGCGCCUAGCAUCGGUGCGAGCCAUCCCUGGCCGUCAGACAUGGAUGUGAGCAAGGAGGAGGAUAAGGAAAAAGAAGGGCACAACCGGGACUCACCGGCGAGCUGCCACAGCGCUCCAACGUACGGCGGAUCUCGCCGGGAUGAAGGCGGCCUCCUCGUUCACCCGCGCCUGCCCUGUUCAGCACCGCCUGGAGGAUGUUGCACGCGCAGCCGCGGCCUUACCGGCAACCCGAG